GUGCAGCAGUCGCGAAAACUCCGCAAUACGCGAAAGCGUGACGGGGCUACCCCGAGUGUCGUCCGCUGAGGACGACUUUUCCACGCUGUAAGGAGGAGGGGGAAUAAGGAGAGGGCAAGUCUGGUGUCAGCCGCCGCGGUAAUACCAGCUCUCCGAGUGGUAGGGACGAUUAUUGGGCUUAAAGCGUCCGUAGCCGGCUCAGCAAGUCUCCCGUUAAAUCCAACGAUUCAAUCGUUGGACUGCGGGAGAUACUGUUGAGCUAGGAGGCGGGAGAGGCCGACUGUAUUCCCGGAGUAGGGGUGAAAUCCUAUAAGCCCGGGAGGACCACCAGUGGCGAAGGCGGCCGACUAAAACGCGCCCGACGGUGAGAGACGAAAGCUGGGGGAGCGAACG
rnacentral:rRNA from 1 species